AUCGCUUCUUGGCCUUUUGGCUAAGAUCAAGUGUAGUUUGUAGUAUCCUCUCACUCUGCUUGGCUGGAAAAGAUAUUACAGAAUGCGAACUAGAUAAUUCUAUUAUCAAGGUGAUUUUUAAAAAUGAAAGUAAUGAUCUCAGGCAUUUUAUAAGCAUCAGCUACUUCUCUUUAAGGCACCACCA